rnacentral:tRNA from 1 species
GCCAGCGUAGCUCAGUGGUAGAGCAACUGUUUUGUAAACAGUAGGUCGUCGGUUCAAUCCCGACCGCUGGCU